AUUGAACGCUGGCGGCAUGCUUUACACAUGCAAGUCGAACGGUAACAGGCCGCAAGGUGCUGACGAGUGGCGAACGGGUGAGUAAUGCAUCGGAACGUGCCCAGUCGUGGGGGAUAACUACUCGAAAGAGUAGCUCAUACCGCAUACGAUCUAUGGAUGAAAGCGGGGGACCGUAAGGCCUCGCGCGAUUGGAGCGGCCGAUGUCAGAUUAGGUAGUUGGUGGGGUAAAGGCUCACCAAGCCAACGAUCUGUAGCUGGUCUGAGAGGACGACCAGCCACACUGGGACUGAGACACGGCCCAGACUCCUACGGGAGGCAGCAGUGGGGAAUUUUGGACAAUGGGCGCAAGCCUGAUCCAGCAAUGCCGCGUGCAGGAAGAAGGCCUUCGGGUUGUAAACUGCUUUUGUACGGAACGAAACGGCUCUGGUUAAUACCCGGGGCUAAUGACGGUACCGUAAGAAUAAGCACCGGCUAACUACGUG
rnacentral:rRNA from 1 species